AUGGUCCCUUACUUUAAAGUAAAAGGCUUAUCAAAGUUUAGCUUGAAAUUCUACUACCUCCUAUUUUGCCUAAGUAUAUCUCUGAAAUUAUUGUCUUUGAUAUCUUGCAUAUUGGCUUCUAGUUUUCAUUUCUUGAGCUCCAAGAAUAUUGGAAAAUGGAAAAUCUAUUACUCUUUCUGACUUCUUUUUACAGAUUGAGAGGAUUAAAGAAGCUUAUGAUACUCUUGAAUUCAUCGUAGGACUUGGGAUAUAUUUGUUUUCCUACUUGACUCUAUUAUGAUUUGCUAUAUAUCGAAUGUAAAUGGUGUCAAAUGUACUCCUGUUUCAUUCGGGAAUUUAGAGUAGAAUUGGGUAAAGAGUGAAGAUUUUUCUUUAAUUUUAAUGAACAUAUAAAUUUUUAUUGGUGAAUUUUUUUUAAUUCUAUAAAAAGCAAUUUUCACUCUUCACUCUUUACCCUAGCAAUAUACCCUUUCAUACUUGCAUCUUUUAUUGUUUUGGCAUUUAUCGUCCGUGCCGUAGUUCCAGUUAACUCAAAUGAUACAACAAGCUUACGUAUUCCUUUGGUUCUGUGUUUUUUGAAGUAUUGAACAUUAACUAGCAUACUAGAAACUUGUAUAUUCCAAAGUUGUCUGUUUUUUCUUUUUCUUUUCUUUUCCUUUCCUUUUUGUUAUUUUUUCUUAUAACUUUAUGUUGAGGGUCAUCUGGUCUCUUAUUCACUUGUAUACUUUCUUCAUGGCUGGAAGAUAUUUAGUAUCUGUUGCGAAGUGUGAUUGAAUGAGUUAUAAUUCAGGAUUUUCCAGGUAAAUUUCAGUUAUUUCGGAAAAUAGAUUUUCUCAAUUUUUGUCAAUUGUUGUUAUAAAGUGUGAUUUCUCACCGGAUGCUCUUUAAGCGGACAAAAUAAAGCAUGCGAAAGAUGUUAAAUGUUAUAAGAUUACACUUGACAAUAGGUAAGAGGGCAAGAAACAUCAUUCCCUUUUUGUUUAGACAUCAUGGAUUCUGCCUCAUUUGCUUCAUUUUCUGGUUAGUCAUCAUGGUUCCUAUUCACAUGUCAAUGAAGGAUCAGAUAAAUUGGAUCCGUGUUAUGCUUUUAGGUGAUGAUGCUUUAUAGCCGCAAGUUGUUAAACUUAUCAAAGCAAGUUUUACAAGAGUAUUUGAAUAAGUAUAAGUUUGAUUUGUGAAAUUUGGUUUGUAGCGUUGCAAGUUGUAGUUACUGUCUAUAUUUCUCCAGUAUUUUGCCCCUUGCCUUCGCAAUUCAUCUUCGAAUUGUUCAAAACCCUAACCUUAACACACCCACACUCACACUCACUCACCAUCACUCACCGCUGCCACCACGCCCCCUUUCACACACACCACCCCCCCCAGAUCCGAGAGAAAGUGUGAACCAGCGGGAGGAGAGGAGGGAGACGUUGAUGAGAGGGCGCUAGCGAGAGAACAGAGAGUGAGAAGGGGUCACCGCCGCAACUCCGCUGCAGCCGCCGCCAUCGCCGUCGCGGAGCAGGGAGCCCGGAGGAGAGAGAGACGAUUCGCAAACGAGAUGGAGAGAGAGGACGAAGACGCGACGCAAGAGAGAAGGAGGCUGUUCUGCAUACAUAUAUGAUUUUAGAUAUAAAGAUUAAAAAUGAUCUAUUUUAUCUGAAACUAUAAAUCCUAGAAAGUUAGAAUUAAAAAAGAAAAUUGACUGCUAAUUAAAAGUAGAUUCCAAACUUAUUCAGAGAUUAUUUCUGUAUUUUAGAACAAGUAACACAACCUAUUACCUUGUUGCAUGCAGUAUAUUAAUGACAUUGUGCCGGAACACUUCUACUUCAGAAAUAACAAUGGAAAAAAAAUCAGGUAAUAAUCAUUACUAACAUGUAUGACAUCUAUGCUUCCUUUGUCACUCUACAAAUUCUCAAGUCUCCUUGUUAUAGCUGCAUAUCCAACUCUUCUUCCCAAUAACUUAACUAUAAGGGUGUUCUACCAUCAUUUUUAGAGCUUCCUUUCCAUUUUCUCAUUAAUGAUAAUGUUGUAGAGACCCUCAUCUCUGAUCUCCACUCUUAUUCCUUUUGGAGUGUAGUUGCUGCCAUCUCUUUCCAUUCUUUGCAUUUCUCAGGUUUGUCCUCUACUUCUUCUUCAUCAUCAAACUCAUCCUCAGAUCUUUUUUUUUUUCAGACCCUCUCCUUCCAUUUUAUUUCAGAUAAGACCCUCUUUGACCAUAUUAGUUUCAAAAGCCAAUUAGGACAAAUGGCUCUGCUCUUUGUGAUUGCUAUUUGGUUGUUAUCUUUUAAUUUUCCACUUAUGUAUUUUUGUCUUAUGAAAUUUUAUAACAAUAUGAUUGUUUUAGUUCUGGAGAGUAUUUCAAUUUAUUUAUAUAUUCCUGUGUGUUUAUGCUUAUAAUACCAUGAUUAUGGGUUAUGGUUCAGUUGGAAAAUUUGAUUUACUCAGAGACAAAAAAGAAAGGGAUGCAUACCUAGUGUAGUUGCUUAUAAUUGCCUUCUGACUUGCCUGGGUAAAAUGGGUAAAGUAGCUGAAGCAUUGAGGAUCUAUGAAGAAAUGAAAAAAGAUGCGGUACGAAAUCUUGCAACCUACAAUAUCUUGAUUGACAUGCUUUGUAAGGCAGGACAGCUCGAACCCGCUCUGAAGGUUCAGGAAGCCAUGAAAGAGGCUGGUUUGUUCCCUCAUAUCAUGACUGUAAAUAUAAUGAUUGAUAGACUAUGUAAAGCUCAAAGACUUGAUGAUGCUUGCUCCAUAUUUUUAGGAUUGGAUCAUAAACUUUGCACCCCUGAUGCAGUUACAUUUUGUUCUCUUAUUGAGGGUUUGGUUAGACAUGGCAGGGUAGAUGAUGCCUACAUACUUUAUGAGAAGAUGUUAGAUUCCGAUCAAAGUCCAGAUGCAGUAGUCUAUACAUCUCUUAUUAGGAAUUUCUUCAAGUGUGGUAGGAAGGAGGAUGGUCACAAAAUUUACAAGGUGAUGAUGCAUAGGGGUUGUUCUCCUGAUCUAACGCUCCUUAAUAUUUACAUGGAUUGUGUUUUUAAAGCAGGUGAAAUUGAUAGAGGAGGGGCUUUGUUUGAAGAGAUAAAGGCUCAAGGGUUGAUUCCUGAUGUUCGGAGCUUCUCAAUUUUAAUUCAUGGUCUUGUGAAAGCAGGUUUUGCAAAAGAAACAUACAAGUUGUUUUAUGAGAUGAAGGAGCAAGGACUACAUUUGGACACCCGCGCUUACAAUGCUGUUAUUGAUGGGUUUUGCAAGUCUGGUAAGGUCAAUAAGGCUUACCAACUGCUGGAGGAAAUGAAAACAAAGGGUCUGCAACCUACUGUUGUCACUUAUGGAUCUGUCAUUGAUGGACUUUCUAAAAUCGACAGGCUCGAUGAAGCAUAUAUGUUAUUUGAAGAAGCGAAAUCCAAAGGUGUUGACUUGAAUGUACUGAUCUAUAGUAGUCUCAUUGAUGGGUUUGGAAAGGUGGGAAGGAUUGACAAGGCAUAUUUAGUUUUGGAGGAGUUGAUGCAGAAGGGUCUAACUGCAAACACAUUCACAUGGAAUUGCUUACUUGAUGCAUUGGGGAAAGCUGAGGACAUCAACGAAGCUCUUGUCUGCUUCCAGAAUAUGAAAAGUUUGAAAUGUCCUCCAAAUGAAAUAACUUACAGCAUUAUGAUAAAUGGCCUUUGCAAGGUUAGAAAAUUUAACAAGGCUUUUGUGUCCUGGCAAGAGAUGCAGAAGCAAGGGCUAAAACCUAAUACUAUCACAUACACAACCAUGAUUACUGGACUUGCAAGGGUUGGAAAUGUUCAAGAAGCAAAAGGUCUCUUUGAGAGAUUUAAGGCAAGCGGGGGCAUGCCUGAUUCAGCUUGUUAUAAUUCUAUGAUUGAAGGAUUAAGCAGUGUCAAUAAAGCAAUGGAUGCAUAUACACUUUUCGAGGAAACUCACAUGAAAGGUUGUUGUAUUUAUAGCAAAACAUGCGUUAUUCUUUUAGAUGCACAGCAUAAGGCUGACUGCCUUGAGAAUAAGUUAUAUAUGUGUGUUGUACUGGUAUUGGUAUUGAAAUCUGUCUUCCAUAUAAAAAUUGUGCGCGCCUUAUCACCCUUCACAUUGACUUCUGAGGCAAUUUUGUGAGAUAUUUAAAGACUUCAAAUGUCACCACUCCGUGGAUAAUGUUAAUAGCUUAAUGGUCUUAGCCCUAAGGGAACAAGUACCCAAUCAAGUUACACCUUCCUUGUAUUUUUUCCCUUCUUG